rnacentral:rRNA from 1 species
UGGGGAAUUUUGGACAAUGGGCGAAAGCCUGAUCCAGCAAUGCCGCGUGUGUGAAGAAGGCCUUCGGGAUGUAAAGCACUUUUGUCCGGAAAGAAAUGGCUCUGGUUAAUACCUGGGGUCGAUGACGGUACCGGAAGAAUAAGGACCGGCUAACUACGUGCCAGCAGCCGCGGUAAUACGUAGGGUCCAAGCGUUAAUCGGAAUUACUGGGCGUAAAGCGUGCGCAGGCGGUUGUGCAAGACCGAUGUGAAAUCCCCGAGCUUAACUUGGGAAUUGCAUUGGUGACUGCACGGCUAGAGUGUGUCAGAGGGGGGUAGAAUUCCACGUGUAGCAGUGAAAUGCGUAGAGAUGUGGAGGAAUACCGAUGGCGAAGGCAGCCCCCUGGGAUAACACUGACGCUCAUGCACGAAAGCGUGGGGAGCAAACAGG